rfam:Capsicum annuum cultivar Zunla-1 chromosome 4, whole genome shotgun sequence
CAAUAGGCCCUUAGUGUGCACGAGGGCCACCCAUUUUAUCAAAUACAUCAAA